rnacentral:lncRNA from 1 species
CUUACAAAUUGAUACAAUUUCUAAACUCCUGGAAGAUACAUUUUGGAACCAUUAUGGCAGCCAGUGAAUCAAGAGCGACCGCGCCAAGUGCAUGACUACGGCAUCGGUUUGGAAGGUGAGCGAAGGGAGACGAGAGGAGAAGCUGUAAGCCCGCGGUGACAGCCAGGCAUGUUCACUUCGGCUUUUUUCCCUAGCAAAUCGACAGGAGAUACAACCCGGGAGAUGUGCUAUAAAACAAACUGCGCUCUCAAAGGAAGCCGGCGGACAGCGAUGGCUAGGUUGGCACGUCAGAAUAACCAGCCAGAAAAGAAAGAGAGAGAAGGACGUGAUCAAUGGACUUGAACUCUGGAGCUCCACUGCCACAGACGGAAAGAGAUCAUCUUUUGAAACAGCCAGGAGACCUAAUGAAGUCGCAGAGUGGCACAAUUAUUUCCCUGAGAAGGAGCAUUAAUGUACUUGAGAAUCCCCUCCGGAGGAACAUGAUGACAAUUGGUUUGUACAGCUUUGAUCGUCCAGGAUAAACUGCAGGGUUGGCCCCCUGUGCCAUGGGUUGGGUUUCUAGCAGAUGUGGGGUGCAUCCCAAAUGGCCUGCUAUUCCCUAUAUAAUGCAAUACUUUUGAUCAGAGCCCUACGAGGAACCCAGAAAUGGUUAUGAUAAAACAGGAGUCACACCAACCAAACAUUCUACUCACAAAAGCUAAAAACAAAAGGUGAAUGGCAGGUUAUAUAAAAUCAGUGUAUAUUUCUUCUGUAGAUCAACAACUGUAUAGACCAAGUCAGCAGGAUUUGUUAGGGGGUGAGAGACCAAUAAUUAUAAAAAGCACAUAACAAAACAAAAAUUGGGGGGGAAAUGUACUUGAUGUACUUGAACAAGUUAAAAUAUAUGAAGCAAAUUAACAAGUAAAAAGGCCAAUUCAAGUAUUUUAUUUCAGUAUUUUAUUUCAGCAAGUUCUUGCUAUAUUUACUACAGAAAGCUGAAUGAAUACAUGGUAUAUAGAGCCUUCUUUCUUAAUACAUCCAAAAUGAGGUAUGGAUGUUAAACCAACCAGACCUUAUUGCAGUACAUUCACAUCUCUCAGACAUCAUCUAGUGCUGUCCAGAUGAAUAAAACAUUAAGCUUAUGUAUUUUACUUAGCAUAAUAUAAUAUAUAUCUGGAAGUUUAAGCACCAUGAAAAUGUGAUUUACAUUGUAACUUGACUUAGAUUAAAAUGCUCCUAGUCCUUUUAUUGGUCUGUAAAAUCAAUUUCGGAAGGGAAAGUUAAGUUCUCCAUAAUAUUAGAAAGUAGUGCUUGGCGGUGUUGAAUCAUCAAAGAACGGUACAGAAAAAUGUGCUUCAUUAACUAGGCCUAAUAAAUGCCUUAAAGCAAUAUUUCACCACUAUCUCAGCCUUGCUUAAUCUUUUGUCUUACAUCUUAAUGUUUUUAUGGAAGAGAGACUACCCACUGGGCCCAAACUGGUUGAAUCAAUGUAAUUCGACAAUGUAUUGUGACAUGGAAUCAACAUUGAAAAUCCAUUUGAAGAAUGUCAUCAUCCAGUGCUGUUUUCAUCUAAUUUUAACCAGCGUCUUAACUUAAACAUUGAAAUUAGGAUAAAAAUUCAACUUAAAUACAUUGACUUAACCUGACUAACAGGUUGUUACAUCAAUCUAAUUUCAACAAAAUCAUCAGAACUAUGUAAAUGUUAAAAUUGUUUAUUUGAACUUAAUGGUAAAAUGGUAUGUUGGAAUCAACGUCAUUGUUUCAACGUCAUGCUAUCGACAUAAAUAAAGAGGUAUAUUGAAAUAAAAUGUGAAGCUACCGUCCAACAAUUCCUGCCUUAACAUUGACUCCUACUGUUAUAUAAAGGGUAAUGCACUUCAGUGAGAACAAGUCUACCAGCCAGAUACCUAACACUAUGUACUCUGCUUAGCUUCAGAAACAAGAUGUGUUUGACUCAGCUGAGCUAUUAUGUCAAGACAUUUAGACAUUGAUUCCAUACUAAUUUGUGUAGACAACCUAGGCCCAAAUAACUAAAUAACUCCUCUAACUUUUCUCACACAAGCUGAUUGUGAAAGUAAAUUUGGAGUGAGGUUGGGUUUACGUAGGCUACAUUAACAUUUGAUUUGCCCAAAGGACACCAUAAUUUCAACGUGAAGCUAGGUAUUCUAUCAUUCGUCCAAGGUUGAUUGCAUCUUUGGAAGUUUAGAAGUAGUUACCAUUAGCCCUAUAAAUAGCAUGCCAAAUUCAUGAUAUUCCCGAGUGGCGCAGCGGUAUAAGGCACUGCAUCGCAGUGCAAGAGGCAUCACUACAGUCCCUGGAUCGAAUCCAGGCUGUAUCACAUCUGGUCGUGAUUGGGAGUCCCAUAGGGUGGCGCACAGUUGGCUGGGGUAGGCUGUCAUUGUGAAUAAGAAUUUGUUUUUAACUGACUUGCCUAGUUAAAUAAAAAAAAUAUAUAUAUAUUAAUAAUACACUUUUACCUUUGGAUAUUGUGUUUUAUAUACGUUGUUCAUAAUAUAUACUUUUUUACAUUUUAGUAAUUUAGCAGACACUCUUAUCCAGAGCAAUUUACAGUUAGUGCAUUAAGGGACACUUUUCCUCAAUUAAGUAGCUAUCAGCAAAGUCAGAGCUAGAAAGAGGGAGGGGGGAGAGUCAAGUGCAAGUGUUGGUUCAGGGUGUGCAAGUGCUCCUUCAAAUGUUGAUAAUUGAUAUUUGGUUGCGUUCACAAUUCAACAUCCAGUUUAUCUUCAAAUUACUUAUUAAUAUGUUGGAUUCACAUCUCCAUGUAAACCUGAAAAUCUGAGUAAAAGGACUAAAUCAAACCAAACUUUAAAUGCACUUCAAAUAAAGUUUCGUAUUUUUCAACUUAGAUUUUUGGUUGACAUGGAGACGUGAAUCAAACAUAUUAAUAACUUGUAGAUUACAUUUGAAAUCAACCAAUCAUCCUUCAUAUACAAAACAAUAUCCAAAACAAUAUCCAUAAUACACUAAAACUGUAUUAUUAAUAUCAUAAAUUUGGCAUCCUAUUUAUAGGGCUAAUGGUAACUACUUCCAAACUUCCAAAGAUCCAAUCAACCAUGGAUGAAUGAUAGUAUACCUAGCUUCACAUUGAAAUUAUCGUGUCCUUUGGGCAAAUCACAUGUAGCCUACAUAAACCCACCUCACUAUGAAUUUGCUUUCACAUACUGCUUGUGAAGAGGAGUUACUUUCAAAUAUUAAAUGUUAUUUAGGUAAUCUACGCAAAUGAGUUUGGAAGCUGAUCAAUGUCUAAAUGUGUUGACAUGGUAGCUCAGCUGAAACAAACAUAGCUUGUUUCCAAAACUAAGCGGGGUGCAAAGAGGUAUGCAUGCAUCUGGCAAAGUAGAUUAUUUCUCACUGAAAUGCAUUACUCCUCAUAUACCAGUACGCUAUGAUCCCUUAUUGAUGUCACUUGUUAAAUCCACUUCAAUCUGUGUAGAUGAAGGGAAGGAGAUAGGUUAAAGAAGGAUUUCUAAGCCUUGAGACAAUUGAGACAUGGAUUGUGUAUGUGUGCCAUUCAGAGGGUGAAUGGGCAAGACAAAAUAUUUAAGUGCCUUUGAAGGUGCCAGGAGCACCAGUUUGUGUCAAGAACUGCAACGCUGCUGCGUUUUUCACACUCAACAGUUUCCUGUGUGUAUCAAGAAUGGUCCAACACCCAAAGGACAUCCAGCAAACUUGACACAACUGUGGGAUGCAUUGGAAUCAACAUGGGCCAGCAUCCAUGUGGAACAUUUUCGACACCUUGUUGAGUCCAUGCCCAGACGAAUUGAGGCUGUUCUGAGGGUAAAUGGGGGAGUGCAAGUCAAUAUUAGGAAGGUGUUCCUAAUGUUUGGUACACUCAGUGCAUAUUGAAUAUAUUUUUAUACAUUUCUAUUACAUUUUCAACAGAAUUUCAACAUAUACAUAGCUUUUAUGAUUAUGUAGAAAUUAAAUUUGUUUAACAACUUGUUAGUCAGGUUAAGUGAAUGUAUUUAAGUUGAAGUUUUACCCUAAUUUCAAUGUUUACAACACUGGCUGAAAUUAGAUGAAAACACUACUGGUUUGUGACUUCUUUCAAAUCCAAUGUAUUUUCCACGUUGAGUCCACGUCACAAUAUGUUGACGAAAUACAUUGAAACAACGUUGAUUCAACCAGUGUGUGCGCAGUAGGUAGCUUCAAUCCACUGCUUCUGUAUGCUUAUUUGACAACGUUAGCAAAUUAGCAAAGGUUGCUAGUUAAAAUAAUGCAGCAGUGGUUUGAAGCAAAUCCAUACCCAUGAAACACUUCAGAUGCAAGAUUGCAUUGCAUGAUAUUGAUAGCGACUCAGCUUACACUCUACACAAAUCCAGUAACCCAACAUUCAAACUUGUUUAGAAUAUUUCAGUAAAUAAAAUCUAAUAUUGAUCUUUAGAGAUCUUUGCUUGAUUAACAUAAAAUUAGAACAUAUCGUAAUUACAGUUAGCCUACUGUUAAAGUCAGAACAAGACAAAUAGUAAAUAAUCAGCAUAAACGUUGGAGAGAAAGCAGAUAUUGUGUCCAUACAAUAAGGACAGAUUUAGCAAUGCAUAUAAUUUGUGAUAUGAAUGAUUGACCCUGUAUUCUGAUUAUGGCUCCUAUGGCUACAGUUAAAGGGUCUAUUCUCAUUGAUGAGAAUUAAAGGGAUAAUUCGUGAUUUUAUCUACUUCCCCAGAGUCAGAUGAACUUGUGGAUACCAUUUGUAUACAGUAUGAAGGAAGUUGCUAACUUGUGCUAGCGCAAUUUCUACAGUAACUAGCGUUAACGCAAUGGCUGGAAGUCUAUGGGUAAAUACCCAUAGACUUCCAGUCAUUGCUAGCAGAUACCCAUAGACUUCCAGCCAUUGCGCUAAUGCUAGUUAGCAUUGAAUUGCAAAACUACCUCUAACUUCCUUCAUACUUGUCACAGAGACAUAAACAAGGUAUCCAAUAUUUCAUCUGAUUCUGGGGAAAUAGAUAAGGGGCAAUUGCCAAAAUCCCGAAAUAUCCCUUUAAGGAUCAUUUCGAGAGAUUCUUGAGAGGUAUCGAUUCUUGAGACAUAACUGUAAUGUAAACUUGCUUAUUUCUCACGUCUCGAACGCUACCUCCGGAGCUCGCACAUGACACUCGCCCGACAGUUUCCUCCCACUGAGCAGGACAGUGUAAACAGAAUUGUCUCGUUGAGCCCAACAUUCAAACAGUUAAAAUAGUAAUAGCAGAGCAAUGUUUUUGAUACAGCUGAAAUGUAAAGACAUGUUCAUUAUAUUUGUAGACUUGUUUUAUUGAGCUUUCACCUGAAAUUGCAGUAACAGCCGGUUACGUUCUGAAAUUGUCACCGUAGCUUUAAGAAAGGGAAGCUGAACUGUGUUUUCCUGCUUUGGCUGCUCAGAGUCACAAUCCAGUCAAGAAGCAUGCAGCAUGAAGCUGAUCAACUCACCAGGAAAAACGUUUUCAGUCGCAAUUUUGCAUUGACCUCAUAUAAUGACUUCCAUGAUACUGAUCAAAUGAAGCCUGGUUUGUUCUAAGGUAACUUUAAUGUGCUGAAACUGUACUUUCAUAUUCGAAUGAGAGGGGAAUUGUUCAUGUUUGAUAUGCUAACAUGCUAUCUGUGUAGUGUCUUGCAAGCUACAUUUAAUGCGUGUACGAACAUGAAAAUAAACCCCUUAAUUGUCUAUAUACUUGUGAAUCGUUGCAUUAUUCAAGUGUAGUUAAUAUGUUUUAGAGGAAAAGUUGUUUGCAUUGUCGAACAGUAUGCAAUGUUACAAGGUUAGUGAUAACUGUGAUACUGAUUUUUACGGUAAAUUUGGAGCUGCAGAUCCAGAAAGUGAAUAUACAGUACCAGUCAAAAGUUUGGACAUACCUACUCAUUCAAAGGUUUUAAUUAUUUUUUACUAUUUUCUACAUUGUUAAAUAAUAGUGAAGACAUCAAAAUUAUGAAAUACCACAUAUGGAAUCAUUUUGUAACUAAAGUGUUAAACAAAUCAAAAUAUAAUAUUUGAGAUUCUUAAAAGUAGCCACCCUUUGCCUUGACAGCUUUUCACGUUCUUGGCAUUCUCCAACCAGCUUCAUGAAGUAGUCACCUGGAAUGCAUUUCAAUUAACAGGUGUGCCUUGUUUAAAGUACAAGUUUGAGCCAAUCAGUUGUGUUGUGACAAGUUAGGGCAUUUUUCUGUAUACCACCCCUAUUUGGUAAAAGACCAAGGCCAUAUUAUUGCAAGAACAGCUCAAAUAAGCAAGAGAAAUGACAGGCCAUCAUUACUUUAAGACAUGAAGGUCAGUCAAUGUGGAAAAUUUCAAGAGCUUUGUAAGUUUAUUUCAAAUGCAGUCGCAAAACCCAUCAAGCGCUAUGCUGAAACUGCCACAGGAAAGGAAGACCCAGAGGUACCUCUGCUGCAGAGUAUAAGUUCAUUAGAAUUAACUGCACCUCAGAUAGCAGCCCAAAUAAAUGCUUCACAGAGUUCAAGUAACAGUCACAUCAACAUUCACUGUUCAGAGGAGACUGUGUGAAUCAGGCCUUAAUGGUUGAAUUGCUGCAAAGAAACCACUACUAAAGGACACCAAUAAUAAGAAGAGUCUUGCUUGGGCCAAGAAACAUGAGCAAUGGACAUUAGACUGGUGGAAAUCUGUCCUUUGGUCUGAUGAGUCCAAAUUUGCGAUUUUUGGUUUCAACCGCCGUGUCUUUGUGAGACGCAAAGUAGGUGAACGGAUUAUCUCCACACGGGUGCAAACAACCCGCCCUCCAGGACACCUAUGUCACAGGAAGGUCAAAAAUAUCAUCUAGGACAUCAACCACCCGAGCCACUGCCUGUUCACCCCGCUAUCAUCCAGAAGGCAAGGUCAGUACAGGUGUAUCAAAGCUGGGACAGAGAGACUGAAAAACAGCUUUUAUCUCAAGGCCAUCAGACUGUGAAACAACUAUCACUAGAACAUUAGAGGCUGCUGCCAAUAGGCAUAGACUAGGAAUCACUGGCCACUUUAAGGAAUGGAACACUAGUCACUUUAAUAAUGUUUACAUAUCUGGAAUUACUCAUCUCAUAUGUACAGUUAAAGUCAGAAGUUUACAUACACUUAGGUUGGAGUCAUUAAAACUCAUUUUUCAACCACUCCACAAAUUUCUUGUUAACAAACUAUAGUUUUGGCAAGUCGGUUAGGACAUCUACUUUGUGCAUGACACAAGUCAUUUUCCCAACAAUUGUUUACAGAUACUUUCACUUAUAAUUCACUGUAUCACAAUUCCAGUGGGUCAGAAGUUUACAUACACUAAGUUGACUGUGCCUUUAAACAUUUGGAAAAUUCCAGAAUAGUAUGUCAUGGCUUUAGAAGCUUCUGAUAGGCUAAUUGACAUUUGAGUCAAUUGGAUGUGUACAUGUGGAUGUAUUUCAAGGCCUACCUUCAAACUCAGUGCCUCUUUGUUUGACAUCAUGGGAAAAUCAAAAGAAAUCAGCCAAGACCUAAAAAAAAAAAAUUGUAGACCUCCACAAGUCUUGUUCAUCCUUGGGAGCAAUUUCCAAACAACUGAAGGUACCACGUUCAUCUGUACAAACAAUAGUACACAAGUAUAAACACCAUGGGACCACGCAUCCAUCAUACCGCUCAGGAAGAAGAAGCGUUCCAUCUCCUAGAGAUGAACUUACUUUGGUGCGAAAAGUGCAAAUCAAUCCCAGAACAACAGCAAAGGACCUUGUGAAGAUGCUGGCGGUUACAGGUACAAAAGUAUCUAUAUCCACAGUAAAACGAGACCAAUAUCGACAUAACCUGAAAGGCCACUCAGCAAGGAAGAAGUCACUGCUCCAAAACCGCCAUAAAAAAGCCAGACUACGGUUUGCAACUGCACAUGGGGACAAAGAUCGUACUUUUUGGAGAAAUAUCCUCUGGUCUGAUGAAACAAAAUAGAACUGUUUGGCCAUAAUGACCAUCGUUAUAUUUGGAGGAAAAAGGGGGAGGCUUGCAAGCCGAAGAACACCAUCCCAACUGUGAAGCACGGGGGUGGCAGCAUCAUGUUGUGUGGGUGCUUUGCUGCAGGAGGGACUGGUGCACUUCACAAAAUUAUGUGGAUAUAUUAAAGCAACAUCUCAAGACAUCAGUCAGGAAGUUAAAGCUUGGUCGCAAAUGGGUGUUCCAAAUGGACAAUGACCCCAAGCAUACUUCCAAAGUUGUGGCAAAAUGGCUUAAGGACAACAAAGUCAAGGUAUUGGAGUGGCCAUCACGAAGCCCUAACCUCAAUCCUAUAGAAAAUGUGUGGGCAGAACUGAAAAAGCGUGUGCGAGCAAAGAGGCCUACAAACCUGACUCAGUUACACCAGCUCUGUCAGGAGGAAUGGGCCAAAAUUCACCCAACUUAUUGUGGGAAGCUUGUGGAAGGCUACUGAAAUGUUUGACCCAAGUUAAACAAUGUAAAGGCAAUGCUACCAAAUACUAAUUGAGUGUAUGUAAACUUCUGACCCACUGGGAAUGUGAUGAAAGAAAUUAAAGCUGAACUAAAUCAUUCUCUCUACUAUUAUUCUGACAUUUCACAUUCUUAAAAUAAAGUGGUGAUCCUAACUGACCUAAGACAUGGAAUUUUUACUAGGAUUAAAUGUCAGGAAUUGUGAAACUGAGUUUAAAUAUAUUUGGCUAAGGUGUAUGUAACUUCCAACUUCAACUGUAUGUACUGUUUUCUAUACUAUUCUACGGUAUCUCAUUCACUUAAAUGUUUACAUAUCUUGCAUUACUCAUCUCAUAUGUAUAUACUGUUUUCUAUACUAUUCUACUGUAUCUUAGUCCGUUCCACUCUGACAUCGCUAGUCAAUAUGUAUAUAGUCUUAAUUCAUUCCUACUUAUAUUUGUGUGUAUUGGGUAUAUGUUGUGUAAUUUGUUAGAUAUUACUUGUUAGAUAUUACUGCACUGUUUGAGCUAGAAGCACAUGCAUUUCGCUAUACCCGCACCUCUAUGUGACCAAUACAAUUUGAUUUGAUUUGAGUGGCUCCCACUGUGAAGCAUGGAGGAGGUUUGAUGGUGUGGGGGUGCUUUGCUGGUGACACUGUCAGUGAUUAAUUUAGAAUUCAAGGCACACAACCAGCAUGGCUACCACAGCAUUCUGCAGCGAUACGCCCUCCCAUCUGGUUUGCGCAUAGUGGGACUAUCAUUUGUUUUUUAACAGGACAAUGACCCAACACACCUCCAGGCUGUGUAAUGGCUAUUUGACCAAGAAGGAGAGUGAUGGACUGCAGCAUCAUAUGACCUGGCCUCCACAAUCACCCGACCUCAACCCAAUCGAGAUGGUUUAGGAUCAUUUGGACCGCAGAGUGAAGAAAAAGCAGCCAACGAGUGCUCAGCAUAUGUGGCAACUCAUUCAAGACUGUUAGAAAAUAUUUCCUGGUGAAGCUGGUCAAGAGAAUGCCAAGAGUGUGCAAAGCUGUCAUCAAGGCAAAGGGUGG